GAAUUGUUCGCAAUGGGCGCAAGCCUGACGACGCAACGCCGCGUGGAGGAUGAAGAUUUUCGGAUCGUAAACUCCUGUCGAAUGGGACGAACAGAUCGCGGGUAAACAGCCCGUGGUCCUGACGGUACCGUUAAAGGAAACCCCGGCUAACUCCGUGCCCGCAGCCGCGGUAAUACGGGGGGGGUAAGCGUUGUUCGGAAUUACUGGGCGUAAAGGGCUCGUAGGCGGCCAACUAAGUCAUACGUGAAAUCCCUCAGCUUAACUGGGGAACUGCGUGUGAUACUGGAUGGCUUGGAUUUGGGAGAGGGAUGCGGAAUUCCAGGUGUAGCGGUGAAAUGCGUAGAUAUCUGGAGGAACACCGGUGGCGAAGGCGGCAUCCUGGACCAAUAUUGACGCUGAGGAGCGAAAGCCAGGGGAGCAAACGGG
rnacentral:rRNA from 1 species